rnacentral:lncRNA from 1 species
UGUAGAUCUUUAACAUGUGGAAUUUUUUAACCUGUUUAGUUUGUUAAAAUACGACCUAUGGUCGUUGGAAUUGAAGCUAGACAUUGUCGGCUCUUAAUGUAAAGAAAAAAGAAAGUGAAAGUUGAAGGUUUUGCAAUGAUGAACACUUGUUUGGGUAGCGAUCUCAUGCAUAGAGUUGAAAGUGUUCAUGUUAGAUCAAGCUUUGAUCAAUAUGUGUAACAUAAGUGCUUUUCAGAAUAAGCUGGUUUAAGCAAGAUGAGAAAAUAACAAACAAACUUGUAAGACUGACAGAGAAGAGAAUGGAGAGAGUUUGCUUGUAAUUGUGAAUCUCAUUAAGAAUUGAAUGUACACCUUACAAAGACUUUCAUAGG